rnacentral:lncRNA from 1 species
GAGGCCCGCUCCCGCCCCUUCGCCCCCUGGACGCCUCCGUGGGAACCCCCGGCCGGCCUGCGCGCCCCUCCUCCGGGGGUCUCCCCGCCUUCUUCCCGCCACCAUCCAAUCAAAUCGGGCGAGGGGCGCGAAGCCCGGGAGACGCGUAGGCCGCGGCCCCCAGGCCCGGUGUUUUGACGUCGGCGGUGCCCGCGUUCCGCGCCGAGUAACGGUCUUCGGAAUUCAGAGCCUUCGCCUUAGGGAAGGUGGGACGGUCGCCAGUUUCUCCAGCACUUUCUUCGUCCAGGGACGUCAACCUCCCUUGCAUGCUGUCCUCAGGGACUGACAGCGGGGCCUGCUCAGAAGUUCUCGUCGGGACUCUCUACAGGCCUUUGUGAUUAAGUGCUAGGGGUGAGGAGAGACGUGGCUUAUUUAUGUGUUUUUCAGUUUGUUAUGAUUUUUUUUUUUUUAAUUUUACUUCUCCCUGCCCUAGAAUUGAGCUCCUUGAGAGUAAAAACCCGCCUGGGUCGCCAUCACCCUAGGCUUGGUGCAGGGCCUGCCAGGCGCUCGAAUUUGUUGAAGAGGUGGGUGUUCAGUAUCGAAAGAGCCGCGGAUUGUACAUUAGAAAGCCUGGCUUUGCGCCGCGUCCUUGCCACUUGCUGACCAGGCCCCUCCACGUGGUCCCCGCCGGGGCAGCAGCUCUCCUCACCCGUCCAAAGGCACGGGGAGGCGCGUGGCGGCCCCGCCAGAGCUGAGCCCCCUGGGAUGUGAGGCCGUCUCGCUCUGAGCUUCAGAGCAGGGUUGCAGGAGACACCUCAGAAGGUCGUUUUGAGGACGGGAGGAGAUGAACUGCUCAAAGCCUGCUUAACUAGAUAAAUGGUAUCGAUUAACUUUUCUUUGACUCCCUUUCCACACCUAUAAAAUGAAGAUGACGGGAAACUUGUCAUACUUUUUUUGUGGUGGGUGGGAAAGGUCUUUAUGAACUGUGAAGUCCUAUGCAAACGUGAGAUGUUUCCUUUCGCAAUCUGAUUAGCGAAGCAAAAACACGCGAGUCAAAAACAUACACAGAAAGCAAAAAAAAAAAAUUCACAAAAUGGUUUAUCAACUGCAGAAUAUUCAGGAUGGUGGAACUGAAUGGUAACUACUGACAACAUAGCUCAGAAAGGACGUGCUAAAACAUGCUGGAUGAAGCUAACUUUGAUCCAGGUCUUAAAUGGAAUGGACUAUAGUUUAUAGCUUCAACCUAAUCAUUAACUUAUGAAAUCAGAGAAUUAAGGCCACUUAAGCCACUGUGCUCAGACUGUCAAGAUAUUUAGUUUCUCAAAGCAGAAAGAGGAAAUUAAAUACUCUUGUCAAUUCAACAUAUGGGUUGGAUGAUUAGCAGGAUCCGUGGAUUGUUGUUUAUCCAGUAUGUGAAGAAACGGAUAUCCUCUGUUUUCUCGUUAUUACACAAACUUCUAUCCUUAAUAUGUGACCUUUCAAGGUUGAACUCUAGUAGAGACGGGGUUUCACUAUGUUAGCCAGGAUGGUCUCCAUCUCCCGACCUCAUGAUCCGCCUGCCUCAGCCUCCUAAAGUGCUGGGAUUACAAGCGUGAGCCACCGCUCCCAGCCAAAACAUACCUAUUAAGUGACUGUAUUCUGAAUAUGUGAAACAAUCUUACAACUCAGAAGACAAUCCAGUUUUAAAAUGUGUGAAUAAUUGAACAAUCACUUUACCAAAGGAGAUACAUGGAUGGCAAAUAAGCAUAUGAAAAGAUGCGCAACCCCUCCCACCCCGAGGCAACCUCUCAUCUGUUUUCUCUCCUUAUGGUUUUGCCUUUUCCAGAAUGUCAUAUAAAUGGAAUACAGUAUGAAGCAUUUUUAGUCUUGCAUCUUUCACUUAGAAUAAUGGAUUUGAGAUGUAUUUAUGUUGUGUGUAGGAGUAGUUUGUUCCUUUUGUUGCUGUAGUCUAUUUACUAUAGUAGUCAUUAGGGAAAUGCAAAUCAAAGCCACAGUGAUCACUACUUGGUUGAAAUAAAAAUAAUUUCAAAAGCUAUUGAUGAUGGACAGAAACUAAAACUCUCAGAUGUUGUUGGUGGGAAUGCAGAGGGGUACAUACACUUGGGAAAUGGUUUGGGAGUUUCCUAUAAAGUUAUGCAUACACUUGUGAUAUGACCUAGAAAUCCUACUCCUAGAUAUUUACCCAAGAGAAAUGAAAACAUGUUCACACAAAAACCUGAACAUAUUUUAUAAUCAUCUAAAACUAGAAACACCCUAAAUGCCCUUUAAUUUGUGAAUGGAUAAGCAAACCGUGGUACAUAUAUACAAUAGAAUCUACUCAGCAUAUAAAAGGAACAAACUGCUCCUACACACAAAUAAAUCUCAAGUGCAUUAUUCUAAGUGAGAGAUGCAAGAUUAAAAAGUCUUCAUACUGUAUUCCAUUUAUAUGACAUUCUGGAAAAGGCAAAACCAUAAAAAGAGAAAAGAGAUCAGUGGUUGCCUGUGAGGUGAGAGGAGUUGACUAUAAAGUGGAGCUUAAGAGAAUUGGGGAGGGGUAAUGGAACUGUUGGAUAUCUUGACUGUGAUGUGUGUGGGUUACAGAAUGUAUGCAUCUGCCAAAACUCAUAGAUUUGUACACUAAAUAGAGCAGUUUUGCUGUGUGUAAAUUAUACCUUAAUAAUUUUGACUUGAAAAAGAAAGAUGUUGGAAUGGGAAAAAAGAGUUGUGAUGAGGUAGAGCUACCUGACACCAUGAAUAUGAAGACUGGCCCAAAGGUGAGCAGCCUCUUAUACUCCUAAUGGGCAGCACUUCACAGUAGUUUCAGUAAUACAACCUGAGUUUAAAGAUGUUCAAUUUGUUCUUAUGUUUUUGCCUAAUUGCUUACCAUACUUGACCACUGUUGGCUAGUUUCUUCUCUCAAGUGCCCUUACCUCUACAGUAACCAGUAGAGCAACUUCAGUACCCAGUUUGAGUCUGGUUUCUACCCUUGGUUCUAUCCUUGAUACAGUUUGGCUGUAUCCCCACCCAAAUCUCAUCUUGAAUUGUAGUUCCCAUAAUCUCUAUGUGUUGUGGGAGGGACCUGGUGGGAGGUAAUUGAAUCAUGGGGGCUGUUACCCCCAUACUGUUCUUAUGAUAGUGAGUGAGUUCUCAUGAGAUCUGGUGGUUUUAUAAAGGGACUUUUCCUCCUUUGCUCGGCACUUCUCCUUCCUGCCGCCAUGUGAAGAGGGACAUGUGCACAUUAAGCAUUUAAAGAUCGUUAAAGGGUAAUACAAAUAAAGGCCAAAUUGAGUAAAAAAAGAGGACUGAAUGAGUGCAGAAAAGAUAGAUAUGGAUGUGGGCUGAAGAAAGCUUCUGCAGCAGGGAGAGGAGGGAAGUUAUAUUUUAAUAAGAAUUGAAUACCUACUUUUUUAAGGACGUCAGCAUGAUACUUAUAAAUUAUGAGAGCGGAAUCAUUACUAUUUUCUACCUGCAUCCAGUAUAGAUGUUAGGACUAGGGAGAGGACUAAUGAUAAGCUUCCAUUUCACCUUGGAGCAAGGCACCCAAAGUGGUGGCAGAGCCCACACAGCAUAAUUUAUGCCUUAUCGAUGGUAAAAAGUUAAAUGGGGAUUGGUGAAGAUAGACAAGGUGGAGCUUUAAAAAGAUAGAAUAGAGCAGCCCAAAGCUGAACAAUAGGGUCUUUAUUGUCAUCUGCAAUAGCCAGGUUGAAAGAACAUGUACAUUUACCAUGAGAAGGGAGAUUUACCAAGUUGACAUUUUCAACGUGACCCCAGAAUGCAAUAUGGUUUGACUAGGAUUUAUGUGAAUUACAGUAAGAGAGCCUCUCAACUUGGCCUGCUUUUGGAAACAAUGGCCCACCCCAUGGUUUAGGUAAUGCUGUAUGCAUUCUGAGGGAGGUGGUCCGUCAUUUACAGAUGAAGAAAAGGCUGAGGGCAUAAAAACAUCUUAAGUCUUCUGCAACCAGGGUAGAUGGAAUUCUAACUUGAAACACUAAUUUCAGUUUGCAAAUGCAAAUGAGUUCUAAGAGAGGGAGAAACUGUUUUAGGGGACCAUUUGAAAUCUGUCCUUCAUAUUCACAUUGAAUGUAAGGGAAAUAGCCACCAAUCCUCAGAGUGUGAAGGAGCCAACAUUAAUCUCUUCCUAGAUCUAAAACUGCCAAAUUAAAAUUUGUAUCAGUGACUACUUGACCCACUUUCCUUUCUUGCUUUCAGGGCACAUCCUUACAUGAGCCUAAUCACUUAUUUGCCAAGAGAAUAAUUAACGUUUUAGAGUCGCUGUGCUAGUUAAUAGUGUAAGACAAAAAUAAAAUUCUUAGCCCCCUAACCAUCUGAACAAACCCCUCCUCAGCCAAGGGCAUUCCAAAGUUAACCUGAAAAACUAGUUCAGGCCAGGAUGGGAAGUGGUUGUUGGACAUGCCUCACACCUGACCAGCAUUAACAUCAACACAGAGAUUUUCAGACUGACAGAAGAGACUCUUUAAUAAGAAACAUUUACAAUCUAUUACCUCUGAAGCCUGCUUCCUAGAGGCUUUAUCUACAUACUACAACCUGGUCUCCACAACUCCUUAUCAUAACCCAGACAUUCCUUUCUAUCAAUACCAGGUCUUUAGACAAUAAUCAAUUGCCAAUCAGAAAAUCUUUGAAUCUGCCUAUGACCUGGAAGUCCUCUCACCCCCCAUACCUGCUUUCAGUUGUCCCGCCUUUGUGGCUGAAACAAUGUACAUCUUACAUGUAUUGAUUGAUGUCUUAUGUCUCCCUGAAAUGUAUAAAACCAAGUUGUAGCCCAACCACUUUGGGCACAUGUUCUCAGGAUCUCCUGAGGGCUGUGUCAUGGGCCAUUGGUCACUCAUUUGGCUCAGAAUAAAUCUCUUCAAAUAAUUUACAGAGUUUGGCUCUUUCACUUACAAUAAUUUGGCACCUAACAUCAGGCCUCAGAGAAGACUCAGAGCCCUGAAGGAAUUGGCUGAACUUGGAGCUAAGGUACCAGCAGGGGCCCAAUGAUAGUUCUCCCCAACUUUGAGCAUUUCCUCCAGUGGAAUUGUUAGGUCCUUCUGAGCACUGGACCUCCCAUUUGGCUGAUGGUCCUUGAUUUAUUCUUGAGUUUUUUUUUUUUUUCCUCCUAGAAAGUUAUUUGGGAUCCCUGUCUAGUUCGGAGGUGCAUUCUAAAGGUGUUCUCCAUUGCCUUUUUCUAAAGACAAGGAGAAGGACCCCUUUUUGGGCACCUCAUUUGGUUUCCGGUUUGGAGGUGCAUUCUAAGAAGUCUUCUCCGUUGCUUUUUCUUCCAAAAUUAAGCUCAAUUGGUUUGUCUGUGCAUUUGUGUGAGGAACUGAACUGUUAUUUUCAUAGAUAAAUGAGACUGAGGUCCUCAGCUCUGAAGAAAAAGGGCAUUUUGUUCCUCCCAGCUGAAAGGUGCUCCUGGGUGACUGGGGACGAAGUAAAAGUGUCUGGGGGUUGACUUCCUGAGACGUGCAAUGGCCCUACAGGGAACCCCCAAGAAAAUUAGUUUAGAAAGGCUCUUCCAGGAAACACAUAUAAGAGCUGAUCACUUGGCAUUUUGAGCCCUCUUGGAGGUAAUAGAAUUCCAGAGAGAGAAACAGACAUCUAAGAGGGCAGAAACAAUUCAGUGGUGGAACACUGUAGAGUCCUGCUCACAGUCAGCACACAUCGAGCCACCACACACACAGAAAAACCCAAAUGUCUUUCAAGUUUAUGUGAUACAAGUAAAAUAUUUAAU